GAGAGAGUUUGUUGGCACAGAGCACUGGAGACAGCAGUGGGAUGGGUGAGCAGCGCUGGGGACGAUGAAACGUGAAUUUUCCUGUUGCUUUUUUUCGACUCUGAUUGAUCGGUGUAAGUGGUCACUCCUGAAGAGCUGCAAAAGAACAAAUGGAAGCAGUGUGGAAGGUUCUAGGACUCCAUUCUUGUAUGGCUACAAAUAGUCCGACUGUAUCUUGAGAAUCUUAUCUGAUCAUGGAAUGAUCUUGAUUUUAUUCAUUUUGCUGUCCAGAUUCAAAAGAGAAGAAAAAGUCUCUCAUUUGUCCUAUGAGUGAAUUGUGAAGCAGAGUCUGCAGUGAGAGAGCAUUAAACUGAGGUGAACCUUGGCAGAGGCGCGUGCCCAGGAGCUGAUAUCCUUUAGGACAGACACAGGAGAAUUUGCCAUGCUCAUUAACACACUGAUGCUGGCACAGAUUACCAUUGCAGGCAAAGCCAUCUGGCCCCAGCUCAUAACCCUGCUCACAUCGACACAGGAACGUCCCAUACGUGUUAUAACACCUCUGACUGCAGGGGGCCCCCAUGCUACACUCAUCAACAUCUAAACACAACAGAAUG